GGAACGGUGGUCCAAUGGAAAGACAGCUGGACUCAUCAUCCAGAAAUGCAGGUUCAACCCCUGCCCGUUCCA
rnacentral:tRNA from 1 species